GACGAACGCUGGCGGCGGGCUUAACACAUGCAAGUCGAACGGAAAGGCCCUGCUUUUGUGGGGUGCUCGAGUGGCGAACGGGGGAGUAACACGUGAGUAACCUGCCCUUGACUUUGGGAUAACUUCAGGAAACUGGGGCUAAUACCGGAUAGGAGCUCCUGCUGCAUGGUGGGGGUUGGAAAGUUUCGGCGGGUGGGGAUGGACUCGCGGCUUAUCAGCUUGUUGGUGGGGUAGUGGCUUACCAAGGCUUUGACGGGUAGCCGGCCUGAGGGGGUGACCGGCCACACUGGGCCUGAGAUACGGCCCAGACUCCUACGGGAGGCAGCAGUGGGGAAUAUUGCACAAUGGGCGGAAGCCUGAUGCAGCAACGCCGCGUGCGGGAUGACGGCCUUCGGGUUGUAAACCGCUUUCGCCUGUGACGAAGCGUGAGUGACGGUAAUGGGUAAAGAAGCACCGGCUAACUACGUG
rnacentral:rRNA from 1 species